rnacentral:snoRNA from 10 species
AACCUAUGUAUCAUAUCACAUUGGGUUUUCAUGCUCAUGUGUGAGAAGUGCCUCUUUCAAACCUUAUUCUGACACAUUAUCUUACAUGAAA